rnacentral:rRNA from 1 species
ACGUUGUUCGGAAUUACUGGGCGUAAAGCGAGUGUAGGCGGUUUGGUAAGUCGGAUGUGAAAGCCCCGGGCUCAACCCGGGAAGUGCACUCGAUACUGCCAAGCUAGAGUAUCGGAGAGGUUGGUGGAAUUCUCGGUGUAGAGGUGAAAUUCGUAGAUAUCGAGAGGAACACCGGUGGCGAAGGCGGCCAACUGGACGAAUACUGACGCUGAGACUCGAAAGCGUG